rnacentral:rRNA from 1 species
UGAACGCUGGCGGCGUGCUUAACACAUGCAAGCGAGCGAGAAAGUCGACUUCGGUCGAUGAGUAAAGCGGCGAACGGGUGAGUAACACGUGGGUAACCUGCCUAGAAUGGGGGAUAACCUGGGGAAACUCGGGCUAAUACCGCAUACGACCGCGGCACUGCGUGCUGUGAGGAAAGCUGGUCAAUGCUUGCAAACUGGCGCUUUUAGAGGGGCACGCGCCCGAUUAGGUAGUUGGUGAGGUAACGGCUCACCAAGCCGACGAUCGGUAGCCGGCCUGAGAGGGCGAUCGGCCACACUGGGACUGAGACACGGCCCAGACUCCUACGGGAGGCAGCAGUGGGGAAUAUUGGACAAUGGGGGCAACCCUGAUCCAGCAACGCCGUGUGGAGGACGAAGGUUUUCGGAUCGUAAACUCCUGUCAGUUGGGACGAAAAGCUGUCGGUCAAUAGCCGGCAGUCAUGACGGUACCAGCAGAGGAAGCCCCGGCUAACUCCGUG